rnacentral:rRNA from 1 species
GGGUUGUGAGGUUAAGCGACUAAGCGUACACGGUGGAUGCCCUGGCAGUCAGAGGCGAUGAAGGACGUGCUAAUCUGCGAUAAGCGUCGGUAAGGUGAUAUGAACCGUUAUAACCGGCGAUUUCCGAAUGGGGAAACCCAGUGUGUUUCGACACACUAUCAUUAACUGAAUCCAUAGGUUAAUGAGGCGAACCGGGGGAACUGAAACAUCUAAGUACCCCGAGGAAAAGAAAUCAACCGAGAUUCCCCCAGUAGCGGCGAGCGAACGGGGAGGAGCCCAGAGUCUGAAUCAGUGUGUGUGUUAGUGGAAGCGUCUGGAAAGGCGCGCGAUACAGGGUGACAGCCCCGUACACAAAAAUGCACAUACUGUGAGCUCGAUGAGUAGGGCGGGACACGUGGUAUCCUGUCUGAAUAUGGGGGGACCAUCCUCCAAGGCUAAAUACUCCUGACUGACCGAUAGUGAACCAGUACCGUGAGGGAAAGGCGAAAAGAACCCCGGCGAGGGGAGUGAAAAAGAACCUGAAACCGUGUACGUACAAGCAGUGGGAGCCUCUUUUAUGGGGUGACUGCGUACCUUUUGUAUAAUGGGUCAGCGACUUAUAUUCUGUAGCAAGGUUAACCGAAUAGGGGAGCCGAAGGGAAACCGAGUCUUAACUGGGCGUUAAGUUGCAGGGUAUAGACCCGAAACCCGGUGAUCUAGCCAUGGGCAGGUUGAAGGUUGGGUAACACUAACUGGAGGACCGAACCGACUAAUGUUGAAAAAUUAGCGGAUGACUUGUGGCUGGGGGUGAAAGGCCAAUCAAACCGGGAGAUAGCUGGUUCUCCCCGAAAGCUAUUUAGGUAGCGCCUCGUGAAUUCAUCUCCGGGGGUAGAGCACUGUUUCGGCAAGGGGGUCAUCCCGACUUACCAACCCGAUGCAAACUGCGAAUACCGGAGAAUGUUAUCACGGGAGACACACGGCGGGUGCUAACGUCCGUCGUGAAGAGGGAAACAACCCAGACCGCCAGCUAAGGUCCCAAAGUCAUGGUUAAGUGGGAAACGAUGUGGGAAGGCCCAGACAGCCAGGAUGUUGGCUUAGAAGCAGCCAUCAUUUAAAGAAAGCGUAAUAGCUCACUGGUCGAGUCGGCCUGCGCGGAAGAUGUAACGGGGCUAAACCAUGCACCGAAGCUGCGGCAGCGACGCUUAUGCGUUGUUGGGUAGGGGAGCGUUCUGUAAGCCUGUGAAGGUGUGCUGUGAGGCAUGCUGGAGGUAUCAGAAGUGCGAAUGCUGACAUAAGUAACGAUAAAGCGGGUGAAAAGCCCGCUCGCCGGAAGACCAAGGGUUCCUGUCCAACGUUAAUCGGGGCAGGGUGAGUCGACCCCUAAGGCGAGGCCGAAAGGCGUAGUCGAUGGGAAACAGGUUAAUAUUCCUGUACUUGGUGUUACUGCGAAGGGGGGACGGAGAAGGCUAUGUUGGCCGGGCGACGGUUGUCCCGGUUUAAGCGUGUAGGCUGGUUUUCCAGGCAAAUCCGGAAAAUCAAGGCUGAGGCGUGAUGACGAGGCACUACGGUGCUGAAGCAACAAAUGCCCUGCUUCCAGGAAAAGCCUCUAAGCAUCAGGUAACAUCAAAUCGUACCCCAAACCGACACAGGUGGUCAGGUAGAGAAUACCAAGGCGCUUGAGAGAACUCGGGUGAAGGAACUAGGCAAAAUGGUGCCGUAACUUCGGGAGAAGGCACGCUGAUAUGUAGGUGAAGUCCCUUGCGGAUGGAGCUGAAAUCAGUCGAAGAUACCAGCUGGCUGCAACUGUUUAUUAAAAACACAGCACUGUGCAAACACGAAAGUGGACGUAUACGGUGUGACGCCUGCCCGGUGCCGGAAGGUUAAUUGAUGGGGUCAGCGCAAGCGAAGCUCUUGAUCGAAGCCCCGGUAAACGGCGGCCGUAACUAUAACGGUCCUAAGGUAGCGAAAUUCCUUGUCGGGUAAGUUCCGACCUGCACGAAUGGCGUAAUGAUGGCCAGGCUGUCUCCACCCGAGACUCAGUGAAAUUGAACUCGCUGUGAAGAUGCAGUGUACCCGCGGCAAGACGGAAAGACCCCGUGAACCUUUACUAUAGCUUGACACUGAACAUUGAGCCUUGAUGUGUAGGAUAGGUGGGAGGCUU